UUACCUCUUUCUACGAGACUCAAAAGGAUUAAGGCUAACACAAAAAGGUAGAGUAAGCUCUAAAAUCCAGAGAAAAGAUUGUAAAUCUCCUCUUGGAUUCUGUCUGGAGUCACAGCU